ACUCAAGAUCUUGGGAAUAGAGGAGCAAAACCUUGACGAACCCGAUAUUCUUUUUAUAAACUCUCUAACCACUGGGGAUAUCUUGUAGAUUGGCAGGAAGUGUGGGUUGAUAAUUGCUGAAAAGGGUGUUGACUCAACCUUGGCCAAACUGAGAGUUGGAGGUUCAGCACUGCAACAGUGGCGUCAACCUGCUGAAGAUUUUUGGGACCUGAUGGACUUUGAGCUGUUUGCGCGU
rnacentral:lncRNA from 1 species